rnacentral:rRNA from 1 species
UACGGGGGGGGCAAGCGUUGUUCGGAAUUACUGGGCGUAAAGGGCUCGUAGGCGGCCAACUAAGUCAGACGUGAAAUCCCCGGGCUCAACCUGGGAAUGGCGAUGAAGACUGCAAGGCUAGAAUCUGGCAGAGGGGGGUAGAAUUCCACGUGUAGCAGUGAAAUGCGUAGAGAUGUGGAGGAACACCGAUGGCGAAGGCAGCCCCCUGGGUCAAGAUUGACGCUCAUGCACGAAAGCGUGGGGAGCAAACAGG